ensembl:lncRNA
GAUAGAGACCAUUUGGCCUACAAAGCCUAAACUAUUUACCAUUUGUCCCUUUACAGAAAAGGUGUGCCAGUCUCCACGAGCAGUAGAUUACAAAGCUCAGCACAACCUUCUCAAAGGGUGGGUGCAUCCGUACGUAUUGGGAUAUAAGACUCCUUGGGGAAAUUCCAAUUCUAAAUGUUGUAAAAUUUCGUGAAAAAUCGUCUAGAAGUAC